AAUUAAUCCAAAGUGAAUAAUAACAUUAGCUUUUCAUUUAUAUUCUAUUUACAUUUACAGUAUACCAAGCAGGGGGAUAAUUGUUGGAUUUCCAUCAAGAUGUUUGUCAUUGAAUUGACCCAGCCCGUGUUGAAGUAGAAGGUGUUGAAGAUAAGAUAUCUUAUCUGGAGACUAAUGAACUUCUUAUCUUCAACAAGGUGUCUUGUCUUUGGUACCCUGACUUAGAAACUCAAGAGAGGGUAUUAUGGUUUGAGUAUAGACGUCCUCCCAAAGCCGCAUGUGCUCAUAGGCUUGAUCUAGAGUGUGUGAAGCUGCAAUUGAUUCAUGCUGCAAUGCUAGGCUCAGGGGCACUAGAAUUAAGAGUGUAAAUUCACAUGCCCUAAGUAGUCUGAAUAAGAUGAAAGGGGCAGGGAGACCCUGCCUGUUAAAUUCCCCUUGUAACCUUUGCUGCUUUGGGCUCCCCAUGUUGUUUCUCCUCUGUGAUGCUUGUUUGCCAUCCCAGACUUGGAGCCAGUUUAUGGACUGAAACCUCUACAAACUGAUCUCCAGCCUGAGUAUAUGCCAAUUGACAUGGGGACACAGAGGCCAGCAAUUUAAGGAUUUUCCCAUUUGCUUGCAGUGAAAGAUGGACUGCAGACUGUUGGACUGAAGCUGCUUCGCGGAUGAAGUCUCUGUUUGGUCCAACUUUGUGUCCUCUGCAGCACAUAAAUAAUGUCUGGUGUGUAGAAUCGGCUCUAUAAAUGGAUAAUGCAGGCCCACAUGGCUUUCUCCCUCCGACUGAGUCGCAUGUGAGGGGCCAUUGACUGUGUGCAGUCAAUCCUGGGACCAGACCUCCAGCACAAGAGGAAUAUGUGUGCCUAUGUCACUGUGUUCUUUGUAAGAGACAGGCCAGAUGGGAAGAAAGGGGCUGCCUUUGACCUUUCAGAGCCACUGAACACAGCUGGUCAUCAGAAGCCACACACGCACACACACACGUGCAUACACGCACACAAGGGCCACAGACAGUUCUUUGACAGCUGUAUCUUGAUCGCCAAAGGAGAUAAAUGUUACAAGUAAGUCGCUGGAUUGCAAUUCGUGGAGAACAAGCCAGAGUUUAAACUCACCCAAGUUGGAAGCAGCACACUGGAUUCAAGUUCCAUUUCUUUUUCUUCUUUGAGUUAUCGUUUAGAUUUUGUGGUUAGCAGUGGGUGAUGAGGAAGCUGGGCUCUUCUUGGAGGAUCGUACUGGAAAAGGUGAUUUUCCUGGAUGGAGAAAGCCUGGGUUACUUUCUCCUCCCCUCCUCUUCCCUCUUUCCUCUUCUUUCCUCUUCUCUUCUCUUCUUUUUUUUUUUUUUCUUUCCUAGUACUGGGGAUUGAACCCAUGGCCUUCAUACUGAGUUAC
rnacentral:lncRNA from 1 species